rnacentral:rRNA from 1 species
UGCAAGUCGUGCGAGAAAGUUCCCUUCGGGGAGCGUGUAAAGCGGCGCACGGGUGAGUAACACGUAGGUAACCUGCCCCGUAGUCGGGAAUAACCCGGGGAAACUCGGGCUAAUACCGGAUAAGACCACGAACGCUUAGGCGUUUGCGGCUAAAGGCGGCCUCUACUUGUAAGCUGUCGCUACGGGAUGGGCCUGCGGCCCAUUAGCUAGUUGGUAGGGUAAUGGCCUACCAAGGCUGUGAUGGGUAGCUGGUCUGAGAGGAUGAUCAGCCACACUGGGACUGAGACACGGCCCAGACUCCUACGGGAGGCAGCAGUGGGGAAUAUUGCGCAAUGGGGGAAACCCUGACGCAGCGACGCCGCGUGGGUGAUGAAGGCCUUCGGGUCGUAAAGCCCUGUCGUAGGGGAAGGACUGGCGGGUGGCUAAUACCUACUCGCCUUGACGGUACCCUACAAGAAAGCACCGGCUAACUCCGUGCCAGCAGCCGCGGUAAUACGGAGGGUGCGAGCGUUGUUCGGAAUUACUGGGCGUAAAGCGCGUGCAGGCGGCCGAUUAAGUCCGGUGUGAAAGUCCGGGGCUCAUUCUCCGGAAGUGCGCUGGAAACUGGUCGGCUAGAGUACGGGAGAGGGAAGUGGAAUUCCUGGUGUAGCGGUGAAAUGCGUAGAUAUCACGAGGAACACCAGCGGCGAAGGCGGCUUCC